rnacentral:miRNA from 1 species
AUAGAGAAAACUCAAACCUUUAUUUUGUAGCAGACUUGUUCUCACAGGCCAAGGGGGCAGAAAUCUCAAAAUGAAGGUUGCCUGAACAAAGGGAGAGUU